UACAGAGGUCCCGAGCGUUGUUCGGAUUCACUGGGCGUAAAGGGUGCGCAGGUGGCUUGGCAAGUUUGAUGUGAAAGCUCAGGGCUUAACCCUGAAAUGGCAUUGAAUACUGUUGAGCUGGAGGUUUGGAGGGGGACUGGAAUUCUUGGUGUAGCAGUGAAAUGCGUAGAUAUCAAGAGGAACACCAGUGGCGAAGGCGAGUCCCUGGACAACACCUGACACUGAGGCACGAAAGCUAGGGGAGCAAACAGG
rnacentral:rRNA from 1 species